UACGGAGGGGGCUAGCGUUGUUCGGAAUUACUGGGCGUAAAGCGCACGUAGGCGGAUCUUUAAGUCAGGGGUGAAAUCCCGGGGCUCAACCUCGGAACUGCCUUUGAUACUGGGGAUCUCGAGUCCGGAAGAGGUAAGUGGAACUGCGAGUGUAGAGGUGAAAUUCGUAGAUAUUCGCAAGAACACCAGUGGCGAAGGCGGCUUACUGGUCCGGAACUGACGCUGAGGUGCGAAAGCGUGGGGAGCAAACAGG
rnacentral:rRNA from 1 species